rnacentral:rRNA from 1 species
GAGAUCAGCGAGUGGCAGACGGGAGAGUAACACGUGGGAACGUGCCCUUCAGUCCGGAACAACCCAGGGAAACUUGGGCUAAUACCGGAUACGUCCGUAAGGAGAAAGAUUUAUCGCUGAAGGAUCGGCCCGCGUCUGACUAGCUAGUUGGUGGGGUAACGGCCCACCAAGGCGACGAUCAGUAGCUGGUCUGAGAGGAUGAUCAGCCUCACUGGGACUGAGACACGGCCCAGACUCCUACGGGAGGCAGCAGUGGGGAAUAUUGGACAAUGGGCGCAAGCCUGAUCCAGCCAUGCCGCGUGGGUGAUGAAGGCCCUAGGG